UCCCCAAUCUCAGGAAAUAAAUGUGAUGAAAUGCAGAGACGAGGGAGACGUGCGAGUCCCAGGGAGCAGCAUCCAGACAGGUUAUUCACACCUCUCACGCCAGACAAACCCUAAAGCUGCCGCCGGCUCUAUGGGCAGUGCUGAGCAGGCCACGCUACAGGGGCAGGUUUGGGCACGCCGUGUCCCAGCAUCGUUUUGCUUCACCCCACCCCAGGACAGUGCACCCCGCCUGGGGCAGCUGGUCACAGAGGGGACAAGGACACAGCGAGGGAACUGGGCUGUCUGGGGACAAGAGAGGAGGCAGAGCUGACAGCCAGGCUGGGGACCACGCUGCCUGGGGAAGGAAGGACGUGACACGGAGGGAGGUGCCGCCAUCCCAUCGUGGAGAUGCUGGAUCUCCCUUUCCUGCCUUUCUGUGUCCUCCUGGGUGGCCUGGGCUUCGUGUGCGUGGCCUUCGUAAGCGCUUGGUGCCAACACUGGCGUGGCGGCUUCGCUUGGGAUGGCAGCGCCCAGAUGUUCAACUGGCACCCGGUGCUGAUGGUGACGGGCAUGGUGGUGCUGUACGGCACAGCGGCCCUGGUGUACCGCCUGCCCCCUGCCUGGAGUGGCCCCAAGCUCCCCUGGAAGGUGCUACAUGGCACCCUGGCCUUGGUAGCCUUUGGCUUAGCCGUGCUGGGGUUAGUGGCCGUCUUUCGCUUCCACAACCACAACGGGACGCCCAACAUGUACUCGCUGCACAGCUGGUUGGGGCUGGCCACCGUCUUGCUCUUCUCCUGUCAGUGGCUGGCUGGUUUCAGCGCCUUCCUGCUGCCCUGGGCUCCCACCUGGCUCCGGGCCCUCUACAAGCCCAUCCACAUCUUCUUUGGUUCCACCAUCCUCAUGCUGUCAGUGGCUUCGUGUGUGUCGGGCAUCAACGAGAAACUCUUCUUCAGCCUAACGGCACGAUGGAGUACAAGCGCCUGCCCACCGAGGCUGUCUUUGCCAACACAUUGGGGCUCCUGAUCCUCCUCUUUGGGGUGCUAGUGCUGGGUGCCCUGGCCAGGCCGAGCUGGAAGCGCCCCGACGCUGACUCCCCAGACUCUUGCCAGCCCCUGCUCGCCGCCGAGCGCUGACACCGCUGCAGCAGCCGAGGUCUCUUCCUGCCCUCCUGGGGCUGCCAGCCCCUCGUUCUCCAACCCCGUUGCUUCCCUGCCUGCUCUGCCGGCCCUGCUCUCAGCCAGGGACUCCCGCUGCCUGCGCCUGAUGCUCACCUGCCCGCAGGAGGAACAGGCUCAGCUCCCUUCCAGCAGCGGUGAGGACAUCUCUUUGCUCUUCUUUGUGGCCUGGCCUUGGCCUCCUGCCUGCUGGAGGAUGAAGGGAGCCGCAGCGUGAUGCUCCUGCCUGUGUCCUCAUGCCUCCACUUGCCAGCUCCAGCGGGGUCCAGCUGGCCUCUUGCGCCUGGACUUUAGUCCUUGCCAAAUUGUUGCCCUCCCUGGGCCCUGCAGUUGCCAGAGCCUCGUCAGGUCACAACCUGCCAUAGGAACACCUGUGUACCCAGCGCCACUGCCCCCCACCCUGGGACCAUCUCCUGUCUGGCAUGGGGACCCAGUUUGGGGUGACGGGGCUGGAAGGGGGACCCUUGCACCGUGCCUUGCAUUUCGUCGGGUUGCCUGUGCCUCUCCCUCCACCCCGCAGGGGCUGGGACCAGCUGAGCAGCAUCCCGGGGCCCUCAUGGACAUGUAAUAAACCACUG